UGCAUCAUGAUUUACAUUUGAGUGAGUGGCGAACUGGUGAGUAACACGUGGGAAACCUGCCCAGAAGCGGGGGAUAACACCUGGAAACAGAUGCUAAUACCGCAUAACAACUUGGACCGCAUGGUCCGAGCUUGAAAGAUGGCUUCGGCUAUCACUUUUGGAUGGUCCCGCGGCGUAUUAGCUAGAUGGUGGGGUAACGGCUCACCAUGGCAAUGAUACGUAGCCGACCUGAGAGGGUAAUCGGCCACAUUGGGACUGAGACACGGCCCAAACUCCUACGGGAGGCAGCAGUAGGGAAUCUUCCACAAUGGACGAAAGUCUGAUGGAGCAACGCCGCGUGAGUGAAGAAGGGUUUCGGCUCGUAAAACUCUGUUGUUAAAGAAGAACAUAUCUGAGAGUAACUGUUCAGGUAUUGACGGUAUUUAACCAGAAAGCCACGGCUAACUACGUGCCAGCAGCCGCGGUAAUACGUAGGUGGCAAGCGUUGUCCGGAUUUAUUGGGCGUAAAGCGAGCGCAGGCGGUUUUUUAAGUCUGAUGUGAAAGCCUUCGGCUCAACCGAAGAAGUGCAUCGGAAACUGGGAAACUUGAGUGCAGAAGAGGACAGUGGAACUCCAUGUGUAGCGGUGAAAUGCGUAGAUAUAUGGAAGAACACCAGUGGCGAAGGCGGCUGUCUGGUCUGUAACUGACGCUGAGGCUCGAAAGUAUGGGUAGCAAACAGGAUUAGAUACCCUGGUAGUCCAUACCGUAAACGAUGAAUGCUAAGUGUUGGAGGGUUUCCGCCCUUCAGUGCUGCAGCUAACGCAUUAAGCAUUCCGCCUGGGGAGUACGGCCGCAAGGCUGAAACUCAAAGGAAUUGACGGGGGCCCGCACAAGCGGUGGAGCAUGUGGUUUAAUUCGAAGCUACGCGAAGAACCUUACCAGGUCUUGACAUACUAUGCAAAUCUAAGAGAUUAGACGUUCCCUUCGGGGACAUGGAUACAGGUGGUGCAUGGUUGUCGUCAGCUCGUGUCGUGAGAUGUUGGGUUAAGUCCCGCAACGAGCGCAACCCUUAUUAUCAGUUGCCAGCAUUAAGUUGGGCACUCUGGUGAGACUGCCGGUGACAAACCGGAGGAAGGUGGGGAUGACGUCAAAUCAUCAUGCCCCUUAUGACCUGGGCUACACACGUGCUACAAUGGAUGGUACAACGAGUUGCGAACUCGCGAGAGUAAGCUAAUCUCUUAAAGCCAUUCUCAGUUCGGAUUGUAGGCUGCAACUCGCCUACAUGAAGUCGGAAUCGCUAGUAAUCGCGGAUCAGCAUGCCGCGGUGAAUACGUUCCCGGGCCUUGUACACACCGCCCGUCACACCAUGAGAGUUUGUAACACCCAAAGUCGGUGGGGUAACCUUUUAGGAACCAGCCGCCUAAGGUGGGACAGAUGAUU
rnacentral:rRNA from 2 species